ensembl:lncRNA
GUGAAUGAGAGAGUAAAUGACAGAGCAAAUGUAAGAACAAAUGUGAGAGCGAAUGAGAGAGCAUGAGAAGAGCAUGUGAAGAGUGAGUGGAGUGAGAAUGUGAAGAGUGAAUGAGGGAGCUAAUGAGAGAGCGAUUCUGAGAACAAAUGUGAGAGCCAGGGAGAGAGCAUGAGGAGAGCAUGUGAGAAUGAGUGAGGAGAGAAUGUGAGGUGUGUAUGAAGAUUGUGUGUGUGCAUGACAGGAGAGUGCAUGUGGUGUGUGUGAGAUAUGUAUGAGGUGUGUAUGAAGAUUGUGUGUGUGCGUGACAGGAGAGUGCAUGUGUUGUGUGUGAGAUAUGUGUGAGGUGUGUAUGAAGACUGUGUGUGUGCGUGACAGGAGAGUGCAUGUGGUGUGUGUGAGAUAUGUGUGAGGUGUGUAUGAAGAGUGUGUGUGUGCUUGACAGGAGAGUGCAUGUGGUGUGUGUGAGAUAUGUAUGAGGUGUGUAUGAAGAUUGUGUGUGUGCGUGAC